rnacentral:lncRNA from 1 species
AUCCCCUCAAAACCCCAAAACAACACAAUGCCCUACUGGUUACAGGCAAAAAUCCCAAAUCGCUACAAAAUCCACGACUCAAGUUUCUUCGUAUGAAAAAGAUAGGGCAAAAAAACCAUCUCCAACCAGUGAAUCUUUCGAUGGCUGCUUUGGGGUUUCCAAUUGAUAACUAUUUCUCCCUCUGUGGACUCUUUCUUGAAGUUUUCGCUUUACAUUGCACCAUUAACGGUAAGAGCUAUUGAUCUAGUCCUUCCUGUUUUUUUUCUCUUGAAAUAUUUAUUCAAUUCGGAUUUUGAUACAUUUCUGCAUUUUUGUUUUAACUUUUCAAAGGUUUCAAAUGACUGUAAAUCUCUAUUAGUUUCUACUAGUAUAAACUGAGAAGGAAUGGCAAAAAUUAGAGAUGUAAUUGAGGAUUUUAAAGAUGCAAUUCUGCUUGUGGCACCGGGUUUGGGAUAUAAUGAGAUUCUUUUCCUUUGUGAAUUUUGUUAUUUUUCAAUCAAUAUGAUAUCAGUCGAAAUUUUUUGCUAUAUUUUUUCCAUUGACCAUUUAUAUGGUGGUUUGAGAUUGGAAUUUAAAACUUUUUCAACACAAUUAUAAAUAAUUUGCGAGGUUUGACAGUCAAGUUUUGUUUUGUGUAAAAUGCUAUGCGGAUAUUGUUUGUGAAAUGCUAUGACGAUUCUCUUAGUUGAUCUUUAUUUAUUUCUUGGUAUUGUGCCUUCGCUUACUGCAGUUGGUGAUGAGGAAUACUAAUCUAUUCUUACUUAGCCAGUGCUACUGCAAUACGAUUAAUACUAAAUAUUACCUGCUAAAUACUGAUCUUGUUCACAUAUCUGACAACAGAAAUGGCAUUACAAAAUUCUUGUGCUCCAUUUUAUCUUCAUUUUAUCGUAGUUUUUAUGCCCAAGUGAUAUUUUGUACUUGUUUGCUAUAAUUUUGGUAUGGAUGUCAAGUUUAGGAAAGGAUGCUGAGGCAUUAAUCAAGAAAUUGAUCACAUCGAAAGAUAAAGGUCCCUCAGGUCUCCAAGAGAGCUAGCUGCAAAGUACUAGGAGAAGCCAACUAAGUAUGUUAGCCCAAAAUGCAAACCCCAUUUUAUCCAGCAGCAGCAUUCAAUUAUUGGUUAUUAGAUUGCAGCAAAGCAGUUCCCGCUUCUUGUAACUCUAUGUAUAGAAUAAGGUUGUAACUCUCUUGUAUUUAGCUUUGUUCAUAUUCUAACUUGUGAGAAAUGGGAGAAGAAGCUGGGCGUGAGAGAAGAAGCUGGGCGCCUAGGCGCUGGCCGGUAAAAUGGAGCAGAAACCUGGUGCCUAGGCCCCCCGAUGCAUAUAUAUAAAGCUGGUUUUUUCCCUUGCAAAUGGAGUACCCGAUUUUAGAGAAGAGAAACAGAGUGGGCUUGGAUAGAAUUUAUCAAGUAAGAAGUUGUUCUUCUUGGGUAUAAAUUCAAAGCCAUUUUUCUUUCUUUGGGAUUAACUUGAGGCUUGUUCAAGUAAUCCAAAUCCAUUGUUCUUCAUUUAUAUUGAAAAUUAUUUCUUCCCCAAUUUCUUAUCUUUCAAGUGGUUUGGGAUUUUUCACAUUGCAAGUUAUCUUUCUUGGGCAUUCUUGGGAGUGUUGUUUUCCCAACAAUUUGGUAUCAGAGCAUCUUCUUAAAUCAGGGUGGUUAAGCUCCGAUUUUUGGUGGGUGGCUUGAACUUUGUUGUGCACACAAGGUAUUUGUGAAAAUUUCCAAGUGAACUUUGUUGAUUUAUUUUCGGUAAAUAAGUAGAUAAAUCAUGUCUACUAGAGGAACGGUGAAAAUUGGGAAGUAUGAGACAGAGAAAUUCAAUGGGAAGAAUGAUUUCUCAUAUUGGAGAAUGCAAAUGAAAAAUUUGUUAAUUUCUCAAAAGUUGUACAAGGCAUUGGCGUGAAAGGAGAAGAAGCACAUAGAUAUGUCUGACGAGGAUUGGGAAGAGCGAGAUCUUGAGGCACGAGCGUCUAUCAUUCUAUGCCUUGAAAGAGAUGUUGCUUUCUUGGUUGAUGGUGAGGAAACGACGACGAAGGUGUGGACAAAGUUGAAGACGAACUUCAUGACGAAGACUCUAACUAAUCGGAUCUAUUUGAAGUCCAAAUUGUAUACUUGCAAGAUGGAUGAUGGUACACCAAUCCGGGAGUACGUCAACAAAUUUGAUAGGUGCAUAUCGGACUUGAAGGACAUUGAUGUGAAAGUAGAUGAUGAGGAUCAAGCACUUCUACUACUUCUUUCAUUGCCAAAGUCUUACGAGAACCUAGUACAAACAUUGAUGCUUGUGGGUGAUAAACUUGUGAUGGAGGACACUAGAACGUCACUUUUAGCGGAUGAUCUUCGAAAGAUUGCAACUAGUGGCAUGUCUACCAUUGAUAACAAGGAGCAAGCUCAAGGAUUGUUUGUAAGAUGUAGAAGCAUUGUGCGACCAAAGAGCAAGGGAGAAAAAUCUAGAUCGAAUUCUAGACCUCUUGCGGAAAGGUCUUGUUUCAAAUGCGGCGAGUUUGGGCAUUUCAAGGGGAAUUGUACUAACAAAAGGGGUUCAAAGAAGAACAACAACGAGAAAGUGCAAGUCAAGCAAGAGGUUAGUUAUGCUCGGAAGGAGGGGAAAGCGAUGAGUGCUACACCAUCUCUUGUGAUGAAGCAAUCUCCGAUAAGUGGAUUCUUGACUCUAGAUGCUCUUACCAUAUGUGUCCAAAUAGGAAGUAGUUUACUACCUAUAGAAGCACUGAUGGUGGAACCGUGUUGAUGGGUAAUAACCAUUCCUGUAAAACGGUGGGGCUCGGUUCAAUUAGAAUCAAGAUGUUUGAUGGAGUGGUAAGAACAUUGAUGGAUGUUAGACAUGUACCUGAUUUGCGGAAGAACCUUAUCUCUGUUGGUGCUUUAGACUCUGGUGGUUGCAAGAUUGUAACAUGGAAUUGAAUAAAGAAGGUUGUUCGUGGUUUUUUGAUUAUGAUGAAGGGUAUUCGUGAAGGCAAUCUCUAUGCACUUCAGGGUACUAUAGUUACAGAAGAUGUAGCGGUUGGAACAAGUGGAAGUGGUGGAGACCCAUGUGAGUGCACUCGGCUAUGGCAUAAGAGGCUUGGGCAUAUGUCUGAAAAGGGGCUAGAUCUGCUUGUCAAGAAAGGUUUGCUAAAGAACUUGGAGAAGCCUUGCAUGGAUUUUUGCGAGUAUUGCGUGUACGGUAAAGCGCAUCGAGUUCAGUUCCAGCCAAGCAAAUAUAGAAGUAGAGGUAUUCUAGACUAUGUACACACGGAUGUAUGGGGUCCGGCUUCUGUCACUUCCAAAGGCGGUUCCAGGUAUUUUGUUACAUUUGUUGAUGAUUAUUCUAGAUAUGCUUGGAUUUAUUUUUUGAAGCAUAAGAAUGAGGUAUUCGACACUUUCAAGAAGUGGAAAGCAAUGGUUGAAAACAGAACAGGAAAGAAAUUGAAGAUACUGCGAUCUGAUAACGGUACUGAGUAUACAGAUGGUGCUUUCAAAGAGUUCUGUGGUAAGGAAGGCAUUGCGAGACACUGGGCAGUUAGAAAUACACUGCAACAGAAUGGGGUCGCGGAAAGACUGAAUUGCACAUUUCGAGAGAAAUUGAUGUGUAUGCGAUCCUAUGCUGGUUUGGGCAGAGAAUGGUGGGCAGAGUCGGUUGCAAAUGCCUGCUACAUAGUGAACCAGUCUCCACAUUCGAGGUUAGAUGGAGAUGUACCUUACAGGGUAUUGACAGGAGAACAUACAGAUUAUGAAAAACUCAGAAUAUUCGGAUGCAUAGCCUACUAUCAUGUCAACGAGGGAAAACUUGAUGUGAGGGCCAAGAAGGCUAUAUUCUUGGGGUAUGCGGCAGGUGUAAAAGGCUAUUGCCUAUGGUGUGUAGAGGAUUCUAAGUUCAUAAUCAACAGAGAUGUUACUUUUGAUGAGAACUCCAUGAUAGCUUCGUUGAAAGCUACAGUGCCUGGUGGUGAUGAUGUUGAGACUACAAAGUCUCAAGUUGUUGACAUAGAACAUAGAGAUCAACCUGGUUCUAGGCAUGUUCAAGAGGAGCAUCAUGUAGACACUCAAGAUGAGAGUGAUGAUGAGUUUGAACAAGAGGCGGUUCAGCAAAAGAAUGUACAGGCACAGCAAUAACAGUAGCUUGCAGAUAACUUGGCUUCCUCUAGGCCACGCCGUACUUACAAGCAAGUUCUAAAGUUGGGGUCAGACGAGCCUUUGAGGCACUAUGGGCAGACAAAUUUGGUUGAGUAUGCACUCUCGGUGGAGGAUGAUGAGCCUGCCACUUUCAAAGAAGCUAUUUUAAACAACAAUAGUGAGAGUUGGUUGGCAGCGAUGGAAGAAAAGAUGGAAUCACUUCGCAAGAACCAAACAUGGGAGGUUGUCUCAUUGUCCAUAGGUAAGAAAGUUAUUGGUUGCAAGUGAUUGUACAAAAGGAAAGAGGAUCCUACCAAGCUCGAUGGUACAAGAUUCAAAGCAAGGUUAGUAGCUAACGGGUUUGCACAAAGAGAGGGAGUUGACUACAAUGAGAUUUUUUCUCUGGUGGUCAAGCAUACUUCCAUUCGGGUGCUAUUGAGUAUUGUUGCUCAUCAUGAUCCUGAGCUGGAACAACUCGAUGUCAAAAUCGCCUUCUUGCACGGGGACUUGGAUGAGGAAAUCUAUAUGCAUCAACCUGAAGGCUACAAGGUUGAGGAUAAGGAACUUCAGGUAUGUCGCUUGAGAAAAUCAUUAUAUGGAUUGAAGCAAUCUCCUCGGCAGUGGUACAAGCGAUUUGACUCCUUCAUGUUAAAGCAUGAUUUCUCUAGAAGUGAGUAUGACUGUUGUGUUUAUAUUCGAAAACUUCGGGGCGGUUACUAUAUCUAUCUUUUUUUGUAUGUGGAUGACAUGCUUAUCGCUUCGAAAAGUAAGGUGCAGAUAGAUAGGUUGAAAUCUCAACUUGGUAAAGAGUUUGAGAUGAAGGAUAUGGGGGCUGCUAGGAAAAUACUAGGUAUGGAGAUUAGAAGAGAGAGGACGAACCGGCUAAUAUUCUUGAGUCAGAAAGGCUACAUUGAGCGGGUUAUUGCUAGGUUCGGGUUGCAAGGUGCAAAGUCGGUGGUAACUCCAUUGGCUCCACAUUUCAGGCUCUCUGGUAAACAAUCUCUUACUACAGCGGAAGAAAAGGUACGCAUGGAUCGUGUACAUUAUGCUAGUGCAGUUGGCAGUUUGAUGUAUGCCAUGGUGUGUACACGCCCAGAUAUUUCACAGGCGAUUAGUAUGGUCAGUAGAUUCAUGGCGAACCCGGGGAAGGCACACUGGGAAGCUGUGAAGUGGAUCCUGAGGUACUUAAAAGGUACCGCGGAUACGGGUUUAUGUUUUAGAGGAGAUGCAUGUCAUAUAAGUGGAUUUGUGGACUCGGAUUAUGCAGGUGAUCUAGAUAGACGACGAUCUACUACUGGAUAUAUGUUUUGCAUACAUGAUGCCCCAGUUAGUUGGCGAUUGAUGUUACAGGCUACAGUGGCUCUUUCUACUACAGAGGUCGAGUAUAUGGCCAUGGCAGAGGGAGUGAAGGAAGCAUUGUGGUUGUGGGGUCUUCUAGAUAAUUUGGGGAUUGAGCAGGAUUGUGUGGACUUGUGGUGUGAUAGCCAGAGUGCGAUUCACUUGGCUAAGAAUCAGGUUCAUCAUGCUCGAACCAAGAAUAUCGACGUCAGGUAUCAUUUUGUGGGUAAUGUCAUAGAGGAAUGUGAUAUUUCUCUCUUGAAGGUACACACAAAUGAGAAUCCAGCAGACAUGUUAACCAAAGUGGUAACGGGUAGCAAGUUUCAGCAUAUCUUGGACUUCACAUUAGUUCGUGUUGAUAUGCCCGAGUGGUAAUGGGUAGCAAGUUUCUCUCUUGAAGGUACACACAAAUGAGAACCCAGCAGACAUGUUAACCAAAGUGGUAAUGGGUAGCAAGUUUCAGCAUAUCUUGGACUUCACAUUAGUUCGUGUGGAUAUGUCCGAGUGGGCAUGGCCCUUCGGGGUGGGGUUGAAAUGAGGUGAAGAGUAUAUGAAGGUGGAGGUGAACUAUGGAGGUUUGAUCCCGAGUUUUGGGUACGUAGGCAACCAUGGUUUGAAUGGUGCAGCCGAGUUUGGCGCUUGCUACUUCUUCUUGUGUUCAUCCAAAAUUUGAGGUCUAUUAAAUAAUAUACGAAGUGGAGAAUUGGAGAAAUGGGAGAAGAAGCUGGGCGCCAUGAGUGGGUGCCUAGGCGCUAGCCGGUAAAAUGGAGCAGAAACCUGGCGCCUAGGCGCCCCAAUGCUGAAUCCAGGUGAGUGGCGCUUAGGCGCCCCGAUACAUAUAUAUAAAGCUGGUUUUUUUCCUUGCAAACGGAGCACCCGAUUUUAGAGAAGAGAAAAUAGAGUGGGCUUGGAUAGAAUUUAUCAAGUAAGAGGUUGUUCUUCUUGGGUAUAAAUUCAAAGCCAUUUUUCUUUCUUUGGGAUUAACUUGAGG